ACCCGCACAAGCAGCGGAGCGUGUGGUUUAAUUCGUUGCUACACGAAGAACUUACCUGGUUUGACAUAUAGGUUGUAGGGAACUGAAAGGGACGACCCUUCGGGGAGCCUAUACAGGUGUUGCAUGGCUGUCGUCAGCUCGUGUCGUGAGAUGUUCGGUUAAGUCCGCUGACGAGCGCAACCCUCGUCGUAUGUUAUAUGUGUCAUACGAGACUGCCGGUAAAAAGCCGGAGGAAGGUGAGGAUGAUGUCAAGUCAGCAUGACCUUUAUAUCCAGGGCUACACACACGCUACAAUGGUCUGUACAAUGGGUAGCCAAGCCGCGAGGCGGAGCCAAUCCUGAAAGCAGGCCUCAGUUCAGAUUGCAGUCUGCAACUCGACUGCAUGAAGCCGGAGUUGCUAGUAACCGCAGGUCAGCAAUACUGCGGUGAAUACGUUCCCGGGUCUU
rnacentral:rRNA from 1 species